rnacentral:rRNA from 1 species
UACGUAGGUGGCAAGCGUUGUCCGGAAUUAUUGGGCGUAAAGCGCGCGCAGGUGGUUCCUUAAGUCUGAUGUGAAAGCCCACGGCUCAACCGUGGAGGGUCAUUGGAAACUGGGGAACUUGAGUGCAGAAGAGGAAAGUAGAAUUCCAAGUGUAGCGGUGAAAUGCGUAGAGAUUUGGAGGAACACCAGUGGCGAAGGCGACUUUCUGGUCUGUAACUGACACUGAGGCGCGAAAGCGUGGGGAGCAAACAGG